rnacentral:rRNA from 1 species
GGCGAACGCUGGCGGCGUGCUUAACACAUGCAAGUCGAACGAUGAAGCUGGAGCUUGCUCCGGUGGAUUAGUGGCGAACGGGUGAGUAACACGUGAGCAAUCUGCCCUUGACUCUGGGAUAACUGCGGGAAGCUGUAGCUAAUACCGGAUACUUUCACUGGAAGGCAUCUUCUGGUGAAGAAAGAAUUUCGGUCAAGGAUGAGCUCGCGGCCUAUCAGCUUGUUGGUGAGGUAACGGCUCACCAAGGCGACGACGGGUAGCCGGCCUGAGAGGGUGACCGGCCACACUGGGACUGAGACACGGCCCAGACUCCUACGGGAGGCAGCAGUGGGGAAUAUUGCACAAUGGGCGCAAGCCUGAUGCAGCAACGCCGCGUGAGGGAUGAAGGCCUUCGGGUUGUAAACCUCUUUUAGCAGGGAAGAAGCGGAAGUGACGGUACCUGCAGAAAAAGCACCGGCUAACUACGUGCCAGCCGCCGCCGUAA